rnacentral:lncRNA from 1 species
CUAUGUUUCCCCGUUAUAUUACGGAGCUCAACAUCUCGGUUCGUCCGUUCGGGGACAUCCGAUAAAAUUGGAACGAUACAGAGAAGAUUAGCAUGGCCCCUGCGCAAGGAUGACACGCACAAAUCGAGAAAUGGUUCGGAGCUUUUUUUCAUCUAUUUGGUUUCAUGUUUCCCCAAAUUUAGCUGACGGCAAUAGGCGUAUUAUUAUGCCCUAGUUUGAUUAUUUAGUUUUUAUCAUGAUUUUAUUGGGAGAUUCAGUCAUAUUACAUCAGGAACAUAUAUGACUCCAUGAUCUCUGUUCAAUUAGUUUUCUAUUAAUCAUAUUGAUGCAUGUAAUGUAAUGGUUAACUUAAAAUUGAUUAUCUUUUGUCCCCCAUUAUGCAAUCCCCAAUCCACUAACCAAAGCAAAUUUGUUUGCUAUUCAAAAUCAACAAAUUUCAUAGAUUCAUUCUACUAUAUUUAAUCUACUUGCACAUUGAGCCGCUUUUUGUGCAACGGUUUUUCGCCGUCCUUCUAUACUCUUUAAGUUAAGGAAGCUCGUCCAAAUUGUUGGUAAAUUCCUUUAUGAGAUUUCUCUCUGAAAUGAAGAAACUACAAAUACUAAUUCGUAGCUAUUCUAUGUCAAGCAUGUCGGAAAGUAUCUAUGUUCUAAGCUACUGUGCAAUGCUUUUCAGUUAGCUUUUUCUCAUCCAGUAACCUUCGUGUCAUAUAAGCAACCUUUUUUUAUUUCUUUAAGAAUGGCGUGUUUCCUUUAAGCGAGGACAUUGAAGGAGGAGCCUUCCUAAAAGGGACUCCAAUGAAGGUCCUGGGGUUGUUUGAAUAACACAUGGUUCUUUCGUAUGCCUAAUUGUUAUCAUAGCACCUACAGAUAUGUGAAGGAUGGUGAGACAAGGUACUGCGUUGUUUGUUAAUGUUUGUUGAUCUUUGGGUGCUUUGUAAACUGCUUUACUUCCUUUUUUUAUAAGUGGAAUUGCUGACCUACGUUGUAUGAAAGAUUGAGAUAUGAUUGUUUUCUGAAGUCCUCUGUAUUUAAGUUCCUUGACUUUUCAAAAAUGAUGUCUCUCCUAGUAAUGUGGCAGCAUAUAAAUAAUUAUGCAGUUCGUGGGAUCUAUUCCUGAUUCCCAGAAGAUAGUGAAAGGUGGUUCAACAGAUAGACUGCAAAAUGACAAGACAAUGGUACCUAAUGAACUGAAUUAUGAACUUACAAAAUUGAUUGUCUCUUCGUUGCAACCCAUUGGCAAGCUACUAGUUCUUUCUGUCGAAAAUGGGUACCACAUGUACACGAGUUUUCUGCAUCC